rnacentral:rRNA from 1 species
CUCCUGCAGCUAGUCAAUGAAAUUGAUAAUUCAGUACAAAUGCUGAAAUAUUAACACAAGACGAGAAGACCCUGUGGAACUUUUAACUAACCUGCCAGCAGUAAUCAACCAACCAACCACCCCUAGCAGACAGUUUAAGUUGGGGGCAACUACGGAGCACAACAAAACCUCCAUGAAACACGAAUAUCAUUCGUCACCAAGGCCCACACGCCAACACAUUAAGCUUGACCCAGUAAAACUGAAUUUCGAACCAAGCUACCCCAGGGAUAACAGCGCAAUCCCCUUCAAGAGUCCCUAUCGCCAAGGGGGCUUACGACCUCGAUGUUGGAUCAGGACACCCCGGCGGUGCAGCCGCUGCCAAAGGCUCGUUUGUUCAACGAAUAAUGUCCU